GUCUAUAGCCAUGCCACCCUAAAUAAAAGCCCGAAGUCUGAUCUUGGAAACUAAGCAGGGUCGGGCCUGGUUAGUACUUGGAUGGGAGACCACCUAGGAAGACUAGGUGCUGUAGGCA
rnacentral:rRNA from 1 species